UACGUAGGGUGCGAGCGUUAAUCGGAAUUACUGGGCGUAAAGCGCGCGCAGGCGGUUUUUUAAGCCAGAUGUGAAAUCCCCGGGCUCAACCUGGGAAUGGCAUUUGGGACUGCAAGGCUGGAGUACAGCAGAGGAGACUGGAAUUCCUGGUGUAGCAGUGAAAUGCGUAGAUAUCAGGAGGAAUACCGAUGGCGAAGGCAGGUCUCUGGGCUGAUACUGACGCUCAUGCACGAAAGCGUGGGGAGCAAACAGG
rnacentral:rRNA from 1 species